rnacentral:piRNA from 1 species
UGAGUGUUCCUUAAAUGUACCUCAGGGAC